rnacentral:tRNA from 1 species
ACGUCAGUGGUGCAGUGGUUAGGACUCUCGCCGAUCAUGCAAAUGGUCCGAGGUUCGAAUCCUUGCUGAUGCA